ensembl:lncRNA
CCUGAAACUCGCUUUCACAGAGGUACAGUAUGUAUAUUUAGGAGUCCACCCAGGCGUACAUCAGAUCAGCUCUGUCAACAUCACAAGAAAGAUAAAUUGGGUGCAUGUUAUUGAACUUACUGAAAUUUACUUUUUUACAGUGACUUUUAAAAGAUUUAAAGAGCACAGGAGAUACAAAAGAGAAAAAACAAACAGGAGUGGAACUGAAGAAGAGAGGAAAAUUAAAGAAAAAAGAAGACUCUACACGUCAGAAGGCACUUGACAAAGGCCUGAUCCAGGAGACUAGUCAUGGAGGAGGAUUACAGGAAACCACCACCGCUUUAUGAAGAAGUUAUUACCCAGCAGCACACGAGCAACACUAGUCAGAGCCGCUCCGCUGAUAACAGGCAGGGCUGCUGCUGCAGGUGCUGUAUUAGCACCAAGAACUGUCUGAUGAGUCCGGAGUGCGGUCGAGCUCUUAGCAUCGCCAAUGUGAUUGCCAUGUGUGGCAUGUGCAUUCGAAUGUUUGUCUAAAACAGUCUCCUGUGGACCAUCUAUUCCAGUUCUCUCAACCAGUGGUGGCCUUCUCAAAUUAAAAGGGAAACAAAGACAUUUGCUCUGUUCCAAAACCUAGUGAUCUGCAACAUUUAUAAGCUCCCCUGCAAUACGAAUCCCAAUGCUGUUCCAAAAAGAAUGCAGCACUGCAUGUAUCAUUCAGCUAACUGACUAAAGUUUCACCUUUACGAUAUGUGUUUUCUUUUUGGAAGACAAUAGCAGACAAUAGAGUUAAACAGUUGUAUUACUAUUUUCUCUUUAAUCCAAGUCGCCUAUGUUUAUCUAGAGCUUCAUACAAUACUAAACAGGAAAGAAACAGAAUCAGUGACGCAAACCUCAUCAAAUAUAAUGGAAAGCAGCUCUAACAAGACAUUUCUAAAAUAGUUGCAGUCAUUUGGAAACGACAAUAAAUCUCUUUUUUUUUCAUAAAUUGGAGCCAGUCAUGUAAUUGGAUGUGGCAUCCCCCUUAAUUAUGUAUCAGGUUAGCCAAACUUUGCAUUUAUCAUUAACAUUUCUUCUAAAACUUCUUGUGUGAAAAUAUAAUUUAUAUUACAAAAUUAUGUUGUAAAUGAUGUGCACUAGACCGACAGGUCAAUAAAUCACAAUGCAAGAUUAUUUUCCCAAUUGUGGUGGAUUGUUUUCCUUUAAGACUGUAAAAUAUUAAACCUGUAGACUGAGAAUGUGUAAAUAUGUAUUUUCUCCACUGUGGAUAUAAAGCCUUCUGUCUUAUAGCCGGUAAGCAAACAAAUACCUUUACUUAAAUACAGCUGGAGUGUUUUACCUUCAGGAGUAAAUAUUUAUCCAGUUAAAAACUCUACACUUAAAUAUGUAAAAUAAUAAAGAUGUCUGACAUUUGCAAAUAAGGAUGAAUAUGGAGUCUUUAUUUUGUGUCAUUUUAAAUAGUAUUUACAUCAUAAUCAGAUGAUAAAUUGU